rnacentral:lncRNA from 1 species
UCGUCUUAUUGUAAAUACUCAUCUCUCUCUCUCUCUCUAUCUCUCUCUCGUCCCAACUGGUAUCUCAAGUUCUUUAUCAUCAAGGUCCUCUUCUCCCAGUCUCCCACAUACCCAUAAUAAGUGAUGAAGCUGCAAUUUCAAAUUUUCAGUUCCAAUCGCCCUCACCCAACCCUCUCCUUCUCCAAAUCCCUAACCUCCACUCUCUUCCUCCUCCCUCAAACCCUCCCUUGAACCUUCCCCGGCGGCGUCUCGAAGUGGCAGUGCAAGCAUGCAGGCCAAGAAUGUCAAGCGUCCCUAGCUAAAAGCCGCCGUCGAUGUUGAUAGAAACAGAGAGGACAUGGUAAUGUGGUGCGCGAUGGCGAAAAAGAAGAAAUGGUGGUUUGGAGUUUGAAGGGAGUGAUAGGAGGUAUAAUUCGAGAGAAGGUAGAUAGGGAUUAGGGCAGAAUUUCGCUUCACCCCAACGGUACGACGAGCUGAGGUCGUUGGAAGCAAAAUAAGAAUAGCUAGCUGCGAAUAGAUUAAAAUUUCGAUAACCUGGCCUGGGUGUAUAGAUGAGAAUAGACGUUAAGUAUCGACGACAUUUUCGGACGAGUGAGAUCUAAAAAUGUCAAAAAUAAAAGUAAGAGACAUCUUGAACGGUCAAGAUUGUGUUAUGAGGCAAUAUGCCAAGCAAAGUUGGUCUGAGGUUGAGGUAAUAAGAAUGAACUCCCAGUAUAUGUAAUCUACGAAUUUCGAUUGUACAUAUUUUAUGUUUACAACUGGAUGAACUCAUUGUGGAAUCACCAAUCUGGGAAUCUUCAGCUGACUUGUCUCAUUGAUUACCGAUGCUUUCUACAGUUGAGUUGUCUCAAGUAUCCUUCUUCCUCCAUAUGAUCGAUGAUGUGCUCGAAUUGCUCAUGAACUGGCGUCUCCGGGUUGGGGAUGAUUCAUCACUUCCUAAACAUAAAAAACAGAAAUUAUUCUUUGAAGAACAUGACAAUAUCUCUCACAUUAGAUUAUAAUAUGAUGUUUAACGCUGAUUGAGAGAAUCAUCUAUGCAGUUACUUCAAGUGUACGUAACUAGGGAACUCACUGGCUUUGUGGAAACUGAGCACAUCUGUAUUGAGAAUGCUCCUCCACCCUUUUCGCCAAGUUCUCUCAAUCUGUUAAGCUCAGGUAGCACAACCUUCCCUAGAUCGGGUCUGUCUUUUCUCCCCAUUUGAGCACAUUGUAAUGCUAACUUGGCAAACUUCAACGCUUCCUCGACGGGCCAGUCAGGAACAGCGGGGUCAAGCAUCUCAGCGAAGGUCCCUAUCUCAAUGGCAUGCUCAACAAGAUGAGUCAAACCCAUUGCUUGUUUGGCUGUUAUUAUUUGUAGAAGCAUGACCCCAAGUGAGUAGAUAUCAGAUUUUGUUCCAAGCAAGCCAGUUUGUUGAUACUCUGGGUCGAUAUAACAGAAUGUCCCAGCAGCUGAUGUCAUGUGAUACUGAGUGACUGAGUCAGCUACUGAUGGAGGGACAAGCCUUGACAGACCUACAUCACUAAUCUUGCUGACAAAGUUAUGGUUUAGCAAAAUGUUUCCUGGCUUUAAGUCACGGUGUACCAAGGGUUCUGGCUUGGCUUGGUGAAGGAACAAAAGCCCCGUGGCAAUUUCUGCGGCUAUUCGGAACCUUUGCUGCCAUAACUGGUGUGUUACCUCGUCGAAACAGACGGUCUUCUAAGCUCCCAUUAGCCAUGUACUCAUAGAUCAGACAACCAUACUCUGGGCAGGCUCCGAGCAAGAGAACCAUGUUUGGAUGUCUAAUGCAGCUCAAAACUUCAAUCUGCAUACAAGAACCAUCAGUCAAUAAUUCAUGCUCGUAGCUUUUGACAUUUUCUUCCUUUAAUCUAUUAGUUGCUUUUGUUUAAACACACAUGUUCCCUCUCUUGGUAACAAUGUGCAAGUUCACUCUUAAAUCAAAUCACUCAUGGAUCUAAUUCAAAUACUUCACCUCGGUUAUGUUUCUUUUCUGUCCAAUAUCUGAAAGUGAAAAAGUUUUAGAGAUAGUAGUUAGAGUUUUGUUCAUGUGAAAAUUGACUAACCUCUUGUUGGAACUGUGACCGUCCUUGAGCUGCAUCAGGACGUAGAGCUUUUAUUGCCACUUGUGUGUGAUCCAGCUCACCUACAUACACAGGCCCAUAUCCACCUUCUCCAAUCUUGAGAGCUUUUGAAAAAUUGUCUGUUGNNNNNNNNNNNNNNNNNNNNCUCUUUUCAGCUUCUUUGAGACCCUUUAUUUCUGCAUUCCUCCUUUGCUCUGCUCUGCUUCCAGUUCAGCAAUCCUUUUAGCUGCUCUUUCUGCCUCCAUGGCUGCUCUACAUUUUGCUUCCUCCUUCUGUACAAAUUCCAAUGCAGUCUCCUGACCUAGGCGUGCACUUUCCAGUUUGUUCUUCUUCCCAUUUCCAUCGGUCAAGUUGCUUUAGGUAUAUACAAAUUAAAAAUCCAUUAUAAUUUACACUGAAUAUCGGAAACAUAUUUUUUUGUUUUUUUACUGCAUGAGUAAAAUAAAAUAAGAAAACCAAAAAUAUAUAAAAUAAAAAUAUGUCAUAACAACAUGCAUGAUGGUAGAAUUACAAAGGUGAUAUAACCUCUAGAUUGCUGGUUACGCAUGGACUGAGAAACAUUUGAGUCUGAAACGUUGCCGACUUGGUUAUGUAUUUGCUUAUUACGAGCUUCUGGGGGUAAUUUAGAGGUUGCUGUUUACACAUGACUAACAUUUCCCUUGCCAAUGACAUACACAGUGCAGAAAUCCAGUGCCCCUUUCGAUAUGCUGCUUGGAAUGUCUGUAGUUUUGUUAAAUUUCGAGAAAGGAGAAAUGUAAUUAGUAGCCAUGCAUUGUAAUUGAGUUUUGUCCAACUUCUAGAAGUAUAAGUCCAAUUAAAAGUCAAAUUCAUGAUAAUAAUGCUUUAUCUAGUUGCAAUUAACCAAAUAGAGUAAUUCUAAUUAACAGAAAGGCCAAAUGACAUAAAGAUGAGAAAGUUUCAGCAAAUUUAUAUAAUCCACCUGAAAAAGUCACUUUUUGAAGGUGCCGCAAGUACCAAAACCUCAAUUAAAUGUGUCGAAAUAAAAUUGAUGAAUGUUUUUGCUACAUUAGUACCUUCAACUAUUAUUUCAUUGUAUCUUACGUGUUGUAAGUUUAAACUUAGUUAGAAAAGAGAGUUUGCUGUUUGACAAAAAGUACAUACAAUUUAAUCAUAUUAGUUACCCACACUUUUUUCUUACAGAAAGUACGAAGUGGAAGAAACAACUCCCUAUAUUCAGCGUCAAAUAGGCUUUUGCACAAUUUUAAACCUUACUCAUUUACUUCAGAGCUAGAAACUAAUUUCACCGCUGCACCAAAAAGUGAAAAACAUGGGGAAAUUGAGGAUUUGGAAAACUAGACAAAUAUUAACAUUCUAGAGCAAGCAGACAACAUUGAUAUUAACAUUCCAGAGCAAACAGGCAACAUUGAUAGGCACAUUCACCGACUAGGUGCAUAUUUCCAGCAUCCCCUUAGGGCGGGCGGCAAGUUCCGGAAGACACCCUUUCGGAGAAAAACCCAUACGACGCCGUACGAUCGGCCAACGUCCACCACUGCCAACGGCGGCUGGAUCUCCAAGCUCGUCGAUCCCGCUCAGAAGCUUCUCACCUACAGCGCCCACCGCCUCUUCUCCACCGUCUUCCACAAACGCCUCCCUCCGCCUUCCUCAGGUUCGUCUCUCUUUCUCUCUCUCUCUCUCGUGUGCGUUUCAAUUUAGCCAAUGUUGCUUGAAAUUCUUUAUAUGAAUUUGAAAUUCGAAUCAAGACUUGGGAUUCUGGAAUUCUUAAUUGAAAUGCCUGAUAAUUAAUUGCAUUUAAUGAUGAAGCAAGGAUUUUUCGUUUAAUUUAGUCUCCUGUUUCUUUACCAGAGGCGAAUCAUGAAGCAAGGGUUAUGGACAAGGGAGAAGUUGACAUUGUAAGUAUGAAUGUAUUUAUUAUUUAUUUCUAUUGCUUCAUGUNNNNNNNNNNNNNNNNNNNNCUACAUCACUAAUCUUGCUGACAAAGUUAUGGUUUAGCAAAAUGUUUCCUGGCUUUAAGUCACGGUGUACCAAGGGUUCUGGCUUGGCUUGGUGAAGGAACAAAAGCCCCGUGGCAAUUUCUGCGGCUAUUUGGAACCUUUGCUGCCAAGGAAUAACUGGUGUGGUACCUCGUCGAAACAGACGGUCUUCUAAGCUCCCAUUAGCCAUGUACUCAUAGAUCAGACAACCAUACUCUGGGCAGGCUCCAAGCAAGAGAACCAUGUUUGGAUGUCUAAUGCAGCUCAAAACUUCAAUCUGCAUACAAGAACCAUCAGUCAAUAAUUCAUGCUCGUAGCUUUUGACAUUUUCUUCCUUUAAUCUAUUAGUUGCUUUUGUUUAAACACACAUGUUCCCUCUCUUGGUAACAAUGUGCAAGUUCACUCUUAAAUCAAAUCACUCAUGGAUCUAAUUCAAAUACUUCACCUCGGUUAUGUUUCUUUUCUGUCCAAUAUCUGAAAGUGAAAAAGUUUUUAGAGAUAGUAGUUAGAGUUUUGUUCAUGUGAAAAUUGACUAACCUCUUGUUUGGAACUGUGACCGUCCUUUGAGCUGCAUCAGGACGUAGAGCUUUUAUUGCCACUUGUGUGUGAUCCAGCUCACCUACAUACACAGGCCCAUAUCCACCUUCUCCAAUCUUGAGAGCUUUUGAAAAAUUGUCUGUUGCUGCCUCAAUCUCUUGAAUCGAGUAUUUCCUGUACCGUGGAUCAUAACUCCUUCCUCCUAGUGAGUUCGUCCUCUUUUCAGCUUCUUUGAGACCCUUUAUUUCUGCAUUCCUCCUUUGCUCUGCUUCCAGUUCAGCAAUCCUUUUAGCUGCUCUUUCUGCCUCCAUGGCUGCUCUACAUUUUGCUUCCUCCUUCUGUACAAAUUCCAAUGCAGUCUCCUGACCUAGGCGUGCACUUUCCAGUCUUUGUUCUUCUUCCCAUUUCCAUCGGUCAAGUUGCUUUAGGUAUAUACAAAUUAAAAAUCCAUUAUAAUUUACACUGAAUAUCGGAAACAUAUUUUUUUGUUUUUAUUUUUUAUUUUUACUCAUGAACUUACAAGUGCGCAAUCAAUGCCUUCUGGUUGUGUGUGUGUGUUUGUGUGUCUGCAAGGAGAAGAGGCUGGUUCACAUUACCUGCUGUUUUGAUGUUAGGGUGUCCUUACUGGCCGUAUUGUACAUUUCCAUUGUUUGCUUGAGCUCUAGUAUGAUUCUCAUCAUCUCAUCUUCUACUUCUUCCUAUAGUAAUUGGCAAUAAAAAUUAAAUUAGGAUUCUGAAAUAUUUCUACAUUCAUGCAUCCAAUUGAUUGAUUGCAGUGAUUGCAGUGCACUACUAGUGCAGUAAUCACUCAAAAGUCAAACAAAAACAUUUUUCCACUUUUUAAAUUGGCUUUUGACUCAACUAGAGUUUAUGCUCAUUAAUAUUUGUCUUACCAUAUUCCGGGAUGACCAUGAUUUUCCACUCUGAGUUGAUGAUAAUGAGUUAAUAUCAAUGAACUGGGUUCUUGAGUAGGACUGUGUAGAGGUAUAGCUUCCUCCGCUACUCGUGAAUGAUACAUUGCUGCCUGGUGUCACUUCAUAUAAUUCGUUUGUUGAAGCUUGUCCUCUGGUGAAUGGUGACCUAGAAGAAAAUAUUUACAUUUCUGUGCGGUCAGUCCUUCUGAUUAAUUGUUUUACAAUUGCCAUAACUUUAUAUAUAUUUCAAAUAAUCAGAGCUCACUUGAUUCCAGUGUCAUCAUCUAUCCGAGAAUUAUGGUGUCGGUACUGUGUUCUUGUCCUCUCUGAUGCUGUAUCAAUCAAAAGAACAUGAAAUAGUGAGAAAGUAAAAGUAAAAUAAGAAAACCAAAAAUAUAUAAAAUAAAAAUACGUCAUAACAACAUGCAUGAUGGUAGAAUUACAAAGGUGAUAUAACCUCUGGAUUGCUGGUUACGCAUGGACUGAGAAACAUUUGAGUCUGAAACGUUGCUGACUUGGUUAUGUAUUUGCUUAUUACGAGCUUCUGGGGGUAAUUUAGAGGUUGCUGUUUGCACAUGACUGACCUUUCCCUUGCCAAUGACAUACACAGUGCAGAAAUCCGGUGCCCCUUUCGAUACGCUGCUUGGAAUGUCUGUAGUUUUGUUAAAUGCUCUUUUGCAUUCGAGAAAGGAGAAAUGUAAUCAGUGCAUGCAUUGUAAUUGAGUUUUGUCCAAGUUCUACAAGUAUAAGUCCAAUUAAAAGUCAAAUUCAUGAUAAUCAUGCUUUAUCUAGUUGCAAUUAACCAAAUGGAGUAAUUCUAAUUAACAGAAAGGGCCAAAUGACAUAAAGAUGAGAAAGUUUCAGCAAAUUUAUAUAAUCCACCUGAAAAAGCCACUUUUUGAAGGUGCCGCAAGUACCAAAACCUCAAUUAAAUGUGUCGAAAUAAAAUUGAUGAGUGCUUUUGCUACAUCAAUACCUUCAACUAUUACUUCGUUGUAUCUUACCUGUUGUGAGUUUAAACUUGGUUAGGGAAGAGAGUUUGCUGUUUGACAAAAAGUACAUACAAUUUAAUCAUAUUAGUUACGCACACUCACAAGUUUUUUCUUACAGAAAGUACGAAGUGGAAGAAACAACUCCCUAUAUUCAGCGUCAAAUUGGCUUUUGCACAAUUUUAAACCUUCCUCAUUUACUUCAGAGCUAGAAACUAAUUUCACCGCUGCACCAAAAAGUGAAAAGCAGGGGAAAAUUGAGGAUUUGGAAUACUAGACAAAUAUUAACAUUCUAGAGCAAGCAGACAACAUUGAUAUUAACAUUCUAGAGCAAACAGGCAACAUUGAUAGGCACAUUCACCGACUAGGUGCAUAUUUCCAGCAUAGGAAUAUGCAAUUGUGAGGUCUACACCAUUGAUCGAAUAUGCCUAUAUGCAAAUACAUGGACUGUUAGGAAUACUUAUUACAACGUUAAGCUAUUUGUACUUUGGUGAUUGACUCUCAUCUUGCUACCAGAAAUGGUGGACAACUAUCAUUCUAUCAACAUAUGCCUUCAUACACAGGAUAGAACUGCAUGUUGAAUAUUAAUAACAUCAUCAACUUGCAUGAGAGAGAGAGAGAGAGACGAGAUAUUUACGUACUUUGAAUAGGAAGGCCUGGUGUUGAUUGUUUAACAUGCACAAGGGUGAGACUUUGGCCCUUGGCGAGAAAAUGCUCAACAGUCCAUUUGAGAGCAUAUUGACUUCCCUUGUCCUUGUCUAUUGCCACCGCCACCGCCUCUUCUCUCUUCUCAUCACCUGCGGCCCAUGAUCUUGCCAUCUCUCUCUCUCUCUCUGAACAGUGACUGAAUUGAGAAACUCUCAGAACCAAAAAAAAAANNNNNNNNNNNNNNNNNNNNCAAACCAAAAAUAAAAAUAAAAAAAAAGUACCUCCUCUUCAACAGUUGGACAUAAUAUCUUCCUCACACUAACGUCUCCACAUUCAACAACUCAUUGACUUCCACACCCAUCACAUGUAAACCAAUUUACAUUGUUAUGCAUAUUUCUGUAACAGCAACUGGGAUCAGUUAUGUUUUAAAUCUAUUUUUGUUAGGAUUGUGGAUCUCUAGUAGGUUAUGUCAGCCAACAAUCCAACCAAUAAAACACCAAGCCGAGUUUUCAAGACACUUUCUCCCUCCUCGGGUUUAAGAUCAGCUAGUGAAUAACUAAAUUUAGGAGUGGGAUACAGAUCAUUAUUUUGUAACUUUCGCCUAACUUUAAGAUUCAGAGUUCAUAUUUGAUGGAACUAUUGGAGAUGCUUUUACUAUAUAUGAGCAAUCUCCACAUUCCCUACAACAUAUUCUGUUAUUUCAUAUUUCAUUUGCUGAAACAGAAAGAAUGAUCAAUUUAUUUAUUUCAAAUUUUACAUAGCGAAUCUGGGACGAGCCCAAGAACUUCGUAAAAAUAAUUGAAAGAAUAUAUAGUAUAUUAACAUACAAAUAUAACCAAAAACUUGUAAUCAAAAGAAUCAAAUGGUGAAGAUACACAGAGAAGGAACUGAUACAACAACAAUUACAGUAAGAACCUGGUUUCAAGUUCAGCAACAAUAGGGGCAUAUAAUCAACCCAUUUUCAUUGCACUGCGGGCACACAUUAGACUCUCCCUUGUCGGCAAUGAGCUUGUGACUUCCAUUGCACUUGAAACAAACCACAAACCGAACUCCAGCGCAACCUUGACAUGAUCCUUGUGAUAGAUCCAACGGCACUCCAGCAAGGAGCGGCCGCAGCUUUCCUUGCUCAUGAAGCGCCAGAACCUCCUCUGCUCCCCCAAUGUAUCUCCCCUUUAUGAAAAGCUUAGGAGGAACCGAGUUGCAACCCAAAAUGCUGCAAAGCUCUUGUCUGAACUCCAUGUGCAUUGACACAUCACGCUCGAAAUACACAACCCGAAAGCUCUCUAACAGAAAGCGGAUGCUGUUGCAAUCGUCGAACGUCUUGCGUAUCCCUCGAAGGCUUGUGGUGUAGAGAAUUACUUAGUCGAAGCUCCCAGGUGGACGUUUCUCUUGGAAGCCCAAGAGAGGGUCUUCACUCAAUCUCAUAUACUCAAUCACCGCUUGCCGAAAGGCGGCCAGUAGGCCCGGGUCGAAGAGGGUACCGGAAUCUAAGUCGGGUCGCCGGAAAGACGAGAUGUCAAUCUCCGAUAAAGGUAACACUAAUGCUUCUGAUUCUGAAUCUGGGGAAGUAGCUUUACUCUGUUUCAAAGUAGACUCCACNNNNNNNNNNNNNNNNNNNNAGGGUUCAACCAAAUGUUUGAGAUUUCAGACUGUAUCAACUCAUAAUGGCUUCUUUGUAACUUUUCUGUUAAGGAUCCUCCUGGAGUGCAAAAAUGGUGCCAUUGAGCAAAGUACUGGUCCCAGAGCUACUUCUGCUGGAGACGGGGGGUUUACCUUACUUGAGCAAAUUUUGGAGCAGAAAACCUUUACCAGGCAAGUCGUAUAUAUUAAUCACAAUGUUUUUUCUUCUCUUCUGGGACUUUGAAAUUGCUUAGAUAUUCUAAUUGCAGCCUUCCAUGACAACAUUGUGUUUCUUAUGCUAUCCUCUCUGUGCUUAUUAAGCUGUACGUGUUUUUUCAUUGAAAACAACAAGAGGAUUACUAGAUUGCUUGAUGGUCUCUGACCCUUUUUAGGUGAAAGAGUAAGGACCUCCUUGAUGAAUACCAGUGGAAGACCACUAUGGUUUGUCCAAGGCUGAGUGAAGCUAGUAGGUUUUAUUGCUUUAAUAGCUUGAUUAUUUUUCGUAAAUCCUUGAUAUUUUAUAUAUUUUAAAUGACCUAAAUGGAAUGGGUUGAAACCCUUGGGGAAAUCUUAUUAUGCAGGUUUAGCCCUAUCUGUCACACAUCAUUCCUUGUUUAUUUGUAGUUUGUGGAAGCAUAGUGAUGUCUUUGCUUGUUGUUUUACUUUCGAUAUGACUGUUUCCUCCAAAUAUAUUUUCAUUCCCUGCAAUGCUUUAAUUACACGCAUAGUUUGGAAUUUGAACUUCUUGGGAUUGGUUAUUAUUAGAGCUUAACCUGCUUGAGGUAUCCAAUAAAAGGAACAAAUAGAAGAUUCUGCUGUAAUCGCAUCUGUGCCACUUCUGCUUUUCAUAACUUGCCUUUUUUAUUGUACAUGUUUGUCAUGGUGUUGAGUUUCAUGUAUGUUAAUUCCCUGCAGAUCUGAAAUUGAUCGAUUGAAAGAGCUCUUGCAUUCAAGGACUGAUGAUGUACCUACUGAGAAUCUAGAGAAAAGAUCUGAAGUAAUACCUUCAAUGGAAAUGGUAUCUCAUGACAGGAAGGAGGAAUACGCUAAAACCCCAUUGCAAGAUAAAAGUGCCAAUAGCCGCCUCGUUUCAACCCCUGUUGUCAGUACAACUGUAUGAUACCCUUUUCUGAGUUGACUAUAAUUAUGGCUUAUUUAUUUUCACAGCUGUGGUGUUUACACUUGGUACUCUUUAAACCAAAUAAAAACUGUUAUAAUUCUUUAUUACAGUUGCACUUGGCUCUUUUUUUUUUUUAACAUUGUUGUAAAUAAUGUCUUCAGGUCCCUGAUGAUGAUGCAGCUUCACCUGUUGAGCUGGCAAAAGCUUACAUGGACAAUAGGUCUUCAAAAGUAUCCCCAUCAUUGCUGGGUCUACGUAGUCGAGCUGUCUAUGAAGAUUCACAUAACAGUGUGGCAUUUCCUUCCAAAUUAUCACUAAUGUCAGUCGUUCCUCGAUUUUCUAGCACUGGGGCGGCACCAGAGAAUGGUUUUGCAACCCCUAGAUCUCAAGGCAGAUCUGCAAUACACAGUAUGGCUCGUACGCCAUACUCUCGAGUUCAAACCCAUAAUACAUUUAGGGUUAGUUUUAUAAAGAAUUUUGUUAGCUUUGGUGUCAAUGUUAUCUGGGAUUCAGGCUCUUAUAGUUGUCCCUUGUAUUUCAGGGUGUCGGGUCUACAGUUGAUACUUACGGUGCACCAUCCUCAUCAACUCGGUCUAAAUGGGAGCAAAGCCAACCCUCUGGAUCCAAACAAGGGGUAUAACACAGUUUUUGAAAUGAAUCUACAUCUCACUAGAUAUUUUUUUGCUAUAUGUAUAGCCCUUAGGGUUGAAACCAGCUUUGAAGGUUGGUACUCUCUCUUUCUUAGGGGUUGAAGAACCAGUUAUGUGUUGCCUUGUCUCGAAAAAAAAUAAUAAAUGGUGCUCCCUCUUUUCUUGGGGUUGAAGCACCAGCUUAGAAAAUUGGUGCUCCCUCUCUCUUAGGGGUUGAAGAACCAGUUAUAUGUUGCCUUGUCUCGAAAAUUAUAUAAAAAAAUGGUGCUCCCUCUUUUCCUGGGGUUCAAGUACCAGCUUUGAAGAUUGGUGCUCCCUCUUUUUUUGGGUUGAAGAACCAGUUAUAUGUUGCCUUGUCUCGAAAAAAAACAAAAAUAGUGCUCCCUCUUUUCCUAGGGUUGAAGUACCAAUUUUGAAGAUUGGUGCUCCCUCUUUUUUAUGGGUUGAAGUACCAGUUUUGAAGGUCUUCAUUGAAGAUCAGUGCUUCCUCAGCUAGACAUCGUUGAAGUGUUGUGUUUUUGGCUCGUUGAUAAGUUAGGAUUUAGUAGUCAAAUCCAAGUCUAGAACAGAAAGAGGACAGUGCUGUAGCUUUUCUAUAAGUUCUAGGAAAGUUAGUCUUUCAAGGUUCUAUUAGGAUUUGUAAUAGACUUAUGUCUAUUAGGUUUAGGAGUGUUAAACCGUGUUGUAUCUGCAGCCCCUAUUUUCUAUAAAAUAGGAGCUGCAGGGGGGUUUCUAAGGGUAAGACACCGUAGAAAACCGAGGGCUCUAAGGGUGAUAGAGAGAUCUAGCAAGGGAGUUGGGGAUUAGCAUAAGGAUUUCAAUAAGUACUUGUAAUCAGGAUGUCAUUCUCCAUAGUGCUAGUGAAUCUCUCAAGAGAGAUCACAAAGUGGACGUAGGCCAGGGUUUUGUCUGAACCACUAUAAAGUUGCUGUGUGCUGUGUUUCUGUCUUCAAGUUCAUCUUUUUAGCUUUAGCUUUGCUUAAGUCGUAAAGUACCAGUAAAGAUCCUAAGGGGGGUUUCUAAGGGUAAGACACCGUAGAAAACCGAGGGCUCUAAGGGUGAUAGAGAGAUCUAGCAAGGGAGUUGGGGAUUAGCAUAAGGAUUUCAAUAAGUACUUGUAAUCAGGAUGUCAUUCUCCAUAGUGCUAGUGAAUCUCUCAAGAGAGAUCACAAAGUGGACGUAGGCUAGGGUUUUGUCUGAACCACUAUAAAGUUGCUGUGUGCUGUGUUUCUGUCUUCAAGUUCAUCUUUUUAGCUUUAGUUUUGCUGAAGUCGUAAAGUACUAGUAAAGAUCCUAGGGCGCUGACCACUAUAUGAAGGCCUUCAUUAUGGACAUACAAUUGAAGGGUAUAAUGUAGAGGUAAAGAAAAAUCAGCUUCUGAGCUCAAGAUGUUUGUUGAUAUAGUGUCUUCUUAAUACAACAAAGAGAAUGCCACUCUUUGUUGUACUUUAUACCAGAAAAGAUGGUCUGUUAAGCUCUAGAAUUGGAAUUUUGUUGUGAGUUUUACAUUUAGAAGAAAAUUACUGGUUUAUUGCUUGCUUGAUAGCAGAAAAGAUGGCGACGCCUCUCUUCUCUGUUAAGAUUUAGAAUUGGGUUUCUGUGGUUUUAAGAUAAGGUUCUGGUUUUUCCUUUGCAUAAAUAACAAACCUUGUAUUUCUAGUUUGGAUAAAUCUCUAAGAUAGAUAUGGCUGCCUCGUUUUCGUCUUAAUUCUUUUCUUGUUUAUGACUCAUUGCUUAUUGAGCUGGGGUGCUCAUCUUAUAUCAUUUUCUUAUUUUUUUGUGUUACCUUAAUAUUAUCCUGCAUUAUAUUCUGUUGUUUUAGUACAUGCUUGCUAGAUUAGUGUGAUUUCUCUUCUCUCAAAUCAUCAAUGGAUAUAUUUGGUGUUUAUGUUCACCCUACACUUUCUGUAGGUGUAUUGAAAUGUGAUGAAUGUUUGGUUCAUGGAAGGAACUGGGCAUUGACGUAACCUUUUGAGCUGUUACUGUAUAAAGUAUAAAUAAUUUAGCUAGUCUGUCUAUGAUAUGUUACCCAGCAAGUUCAUUAAGGAAUUUGCUGCGUAUUGUGUUAAUUUCCUGAACACUAAUAAAGCUUCCUCUACAUCUGAGAUUAUAGGAUACAUCCUUUGACCAUACGGUCUUGUGUCAAAUGACUGUUAUCUGGACCUUUGAUUGUAUGGAAGGGUAUCAGUUGUCCCAACUUAGUCGUGUAGCAGUAAGACUGAAUCAAAAUGCUAGAAUUGCAUUUCCUUUUAGGUUUCGAAACUCAAAGGUUUAUGAAUCAGUGUCUUCUUAGAUUGUUUUGGGCAAUAUCAGGUUUACAAGGAUAUGCCAUGUUAUGAUGGCUGUGUUGUGGCUAAAGAUAAAUAUAUAUAGGUACAUACAUAACUCGGUAUCAAAUUUAAUUGUUGUUAAGUAGUUGCUGCCGGUACUUUAGCUACUGUAAAAUCUGUUAGUGUGUGUCUGUUGACCUGACAUUGGGAUUUUCCGACUCAAUUUGGACAAUGUGUCUAGUCUCUUUGUUUAUAUUUAUCUGGUCAUGCACUACAUCUACAUUUAUGUAUCCUACAGUUGUGAAAUUUUAUGUUAGUUAGGACUAGUAUGAAUCAAUGAGUCAUAAUGUUGUAACUCUAGAAGCUUCCUUUUGCUUUGAUUUCCUUCCUUUCUUUGUUGUUUGUUUGGUUGCUUUGGUCUCGGGCAAGUUGCACAUGUCAAAUGACUUUACAACCGCUUGUGUUUAUGGUUUUUCUGUUGUAUAGCUGGACCUUAUACGUGGUUGUUGUGAAUCUAUUAUUGGCCGUGCUUGAUUAAUAUAUAGUCGGAUCAAGAUACCUGUUUUGGCUAGAGUGCUAUGUGAUGGCACUGAGGUCAGUUUCCGCUUCAAUUUAUGUAAUCUGUUGGUUUCGCAUUCGGGAAAGUUUCGAGUUGAUUUUAGUAAUUUACAGCUUUAGUUUUAAGCUUAGGCAGAUUUUAUGGCUUUAUGAAUGCACUUGUGAUCAAUCUUUCAUAAAUCAUAAUGAAGUUCAUGAUUUCAUGUGUUAUUGUAGGACUUUUGAAAGUGUUAGGCUUAGAUGAAAGGUUUAUAUAGGGGUUUCAUGGUGGUGGCCAAUACACAGGCAAGUGAAAGUGGUGGUGUUAUCAUCUAUCACAGCCUUUGUAAUCUAUCACACCCAACCACUACUAGGAAUCUAAACUAAUUAUAAGAAUAAAGUCUCAACUAAUUCUGAUAUUAGUUUUAUUGGGAAGGGUUAAUUGUACAGGUAUUUGUCAGGAGAAUAUUGUGUAAAGUCUGUGUGUGCUUGCAGUGCAAGCCAUUGUCCUUUUGAAGGGAAAGUUGUGUGGGGAGAGUUUAAUAUGGAGGAUACUAUUUCUAAUGCGGCUUGAAAUUGUAUUGAUAUGAUCUUCGGCUGAAAACAGUUUUUUGCUACAAGUCAAAAAGGUGCCUUCCCAUGUUGUGGAAGGUAUGAUUUCUGAAAAUAAAUGGGAUCAGUCCCUACCUAUUCUACAACUUCAAAUGUUUAGUGUUAUGUUGGAAUGUGCGUGGUUCUGGGGGAAAUUUUGUUCCUCUAUAUGAGUUUGAUGUUUUAAUUGUAUCUGAACCUAGAGUUCCUUUCUCUAGAGCAAAAAAUUUUCGUCAAAAACAUGGCUUCUCUGAUGCUGCAAGUGUCUGAUGUUAGAGGUUUGCUAAUAGGAUCAGAAUCAUAGAAUGGUAGUAUGUUUGCUAAUAGGAUUGCUAAUAGGAUCAGAAUCAUCAGACACUAGAAACUCUCAUUUUAAUGGUAGUAUGUUUCAUCUUCUUCAUCAUCAGAUAUCUCAACCUCUGAAGAUACCUUGAGCAAUUCAGUUAAAUAACAUAAUUUCAAAAAUUGGUUUGGAGUAGUGAAAAUGGCAGCAAGAAUUUCCAAAUUUCUUCGACAAUUUAGGUUGGUGUAGUAUGUUGGAGUUACUGCCUCUCCAUGUUGAGAUUGAUUGAUGCAUGUUUUGGGGACACUGUUGAGAUUGUUGCAUUGUAAUCCUACUUACUGAAAUAAGGGAGUUCAAAGUUGUUGACACUAAUUUGAUUGGUACCUACUGAGCUACUGUGCUGGUUUUGGUUGGGGAUAUUCUGUUGCAUUAAUAGUUGUAAGACUAGCGGCCUUACUUUAUUGUUUAGUAACACCCAAGCUAGAAGAAUCAUAUGUGAAAGACAUUAUUUGUUUGGUCUCCUGGAGUCUGCCAAUUGAGUACUGAGUGGAUAACGAUCUACUCUCACAUGUCAUAAGCAUAACCCCGGAAAGGUCAGUUCUAUCUUCGUAUGAUGCCAACUAUCUACUUAUCUGGCUUUUGUCUUCUGAAAUUUCAGGAGGUUGCUACUAUCACUAUGGCUUAAAACUAAAUAAUACGCAUGUUAAACCCUCCUCCUUGAAACAUUGUAUGUGUUCGUAGGCACAUGUUGAUUGGAUGGUAGUAUGUUCUUGAAGAACUAUCUUGAACUCAAGAAAUAUGUUACUUGCAGAAUGGUCAAAAUUUUAAUUGCUCGUCCUUUGUCUACCCUUAUAACUGGCAUCAUAAAUUUCCCCUUGUCUUACUUAUUUGGCUAUAAUAAGUAUCUGCUGAGGUAAUCAGAACAUGAUUUUAUGAUCGACGGGAUUUUGCAUAGCUAAUAUUGCAAGAUUCUUAUCAUCACCUCAGUUCUGUUAUUUUGUAUACUGCAUCCUAUGCCAGGUCCAUGAAAGCUUUCAAACAUGUUUGGAAAGUCAUUUUGCGUCUUCUCAUCCUAAUGCUCUUCUCAUCUAAUUUGGUGUGUUCGGAAAGUUCAUUGUGUAGAUACUGUUACUAUUGUCGUUGUCUUUAAGUAAAUGCUUCACAUAUUGAAUGCUCCAUGAAGCAUUUUGUUCUCAGGCACAAUGCUGAUAGGAUUCUAGUAUCUUCAUGACGUUGAAGAACAAACUUCAAAUAAGAAAAUGUCAACUUUAUUUUUAAGGGAUCAAUUGCUUUUUUGGUCCCUCAAAAGGAAAGUGAACUACUCUCUUGGUGGAUCAAUUCUCUUUCUGUUUCGUAGCUGAAACCCUUCUCGGAUUCUUCAUUCUGUUUCGUAGCUUCCACGAAUCCCUAUACUUUUUUAGUUUUUUCUUUUUGCUGAUCUAUCUCCACAUGCCACUGUGCAUACAGCUAACUAUCAUACCAGUUUCCGGGCUUCAACUUCAUCUCUUACAGGACAUAAAUGACCAUUUUGGUAGUUUCAAUAGCAUUUAGCAGCACGAAAAGCACUUUUCUAUCUUCAAAUAAAUUACUUCCUGCUGUUUAUUGGUAGGACGAUAAACAGGACUUCGAACUUCUGAUAGCAGCGAUAUAUCUGCAUUUCCAGAAUGACCGAUUUCCAGCUCUAAUAAAAGGUCAUAGGAAAAAAAACGUUGUGUUUUUAUUUUUGUUUGCAGUGCAAAUCCUUUGGCUUGGUCCCAAAUGCCAGCUCUUUAUUAGAGGAGAAGAUUGAAAAAAAAAAAAGAGAAAAGAAAGAAAGGGGAAUGUCUUAAAAGUUUUUCUUCAUAUGCGUUGAGCUCUUCUUGCUCUGAAUACGAGUAAUAACAACCUCUAAGCUUUCUCCCCGCUCCUUGUGUGACGUUCAAACGUGGUACGGAUAUACAUGCAAAGGUCAAGGCAGCAAAACUCUACAUGUGAAAAUUAGCUACAGUAUUGCAAAGCAUCAAAAGUUCAAAAUUAGCUACAUGUUAAAAGGGAUAGUUCCGAAUUGGAUUGCACUAUUUUCCUGAUACACCAACCAGCUCAGACGAUAAUGAUUGAUUGCGCUUAAACGAUUACCAAAUAAUUCAAAAACCAAAUUUGACUGACCGAAACUCCAAAGCAGAGCUUACAACAUUAAGAGAUAAGUGGGUAAAAUUAAUAAAUGAAUGAAUUCAAUCAUAACUAAAUUGAUUGUAACCCUUUGUUCCUUCCCUCUCGCUUUCUCUUUAGCUUGUGAGGGUUAGAGUUUCCAUUGUAUCGAUCCCUUCCAAUCAAAGGUGAGUUGGGUGUGUAGUCUGCGUCGCAGGGUUCCAAACCCUUUCAAAAAGAUUAAAUAAACUGAUAGCAUAUUUUAAAAGUCACCAAAACCUUACUAUGAAAGAAGUAGAGACUUGCCUUGUAUUAGGUGUAGCUCGAGGCAAUCAAUCAUCACCGGGACAUAGUUCGGAAACAAGCUUUACUACUCCCCACAUGGGUGCAUCAUUCUGCAGAAAUCCAUGAAUUAAGUUAAAAAAGAGUACAGUAUCAUCACGAACAUAUAAGCAAGAAAUCAUGUCAACUUCACCACAUUUGACGAAUCUUUCAAUGGAAUGAAGCAAAAUUCCCAGCUUAUGGCACCAAAAACAUAUGCAACCUUUUCCUCUUUUUGGGACCUCCAUACACCCACAACAUUGAUCUUUCAACUUUUUUUGAGAAAAUUUGACGUGUUAUUUUGGUAUUUUCGCACGAUCUUACGAGAUUGCGAACGAACAUAUCAACGUUCUCGGAAUCUGCCGAAACCAAAUUCUUGGCUCUUUUUGGGACCUCCAUACACCCACAACAUUGAUCUUUCAACUUGUUCGCAAUCUCGUAAAUUUAGAAAACAAAAGAAAACAAAAGAAACGAGUUAUUCUUUUGGAUUAAAUUUAGUUUACCCUAUUGAGGUUUGGGGUUAACAUCAUUUCAGUAUCUAUACUCUCAAUUUUGAAAAUUUACCACUUAAAGUUUUCAAUUUUCAUAAAUCAUGCCCAAUUGCUAAAAUUCCGUCUAAUUUGAACGUUAAUUUUGACUUUAUAACUCAUUUUAAGGGCUAAAAUAGUCAUAUAACAUCAUUUAAUGUCUAAAAUUGCACGAAAUUUUAGCAAUUGGGUUUGAUUUAUGAAAAUUAGAAACUUUAGGAGGUAAAUUUUAUAAAAUUAAAAGUAUGUUAAAAUGAUGUUAACACCAAACCCCAUGGAGAUAAACUGAAAUUAAUCAUAUUCUUUUAGUGUAGCCCUUAAUGAUAAAGAUUCAGUAUACAAAAACAUCUACGAGGUCAUCCAUUUUUACUAUGAUUCUCAAUUAAAAAAUCAAGAAAUUCGUCUGAAUGGUAUACGAAUUUUUGUUCCUUAUAAACUUUUGUAUAUCAAGUUUUAAAAAUAUCAAAUUGGUAUCUCAUGUUUCUAUCUGGAUCUUAGAUUGGUAUAUAUAGCUACUAAGAUGACUAAUUUACCAAAAAAAAAGAUGACCAAAUAUUAAGAUGAGUAAUUUACUCACAAAUUUAUAAAAGCCAACCCAAGUCAUCACAUUCCAAAACCUCUUCAAAUAUUUCUGGAAUAUGAAAACAAAUAUAAAAAAAACUAAGAAAAAAAGAGAACUUAAGGGUAAAUUGGUCAUCUUAAUGAGUAUAUAUACAAAUCUUAGGUCUAGAUGGAAACAUGAGAUAUCAUUAUGUAUUUUCAAAACUUGAUAUACCAAAGUUUAUAAAGAGCAAAAGUUUGUAUAUCAUUCAGACGAAUUUCUCUAAAAAAAUUAGUUAAAAAGUUUAAAUAUAAAAUAAAAAAAUAAAAAUACAACACCUUCACAAAAGGCUAAUACAAAAUUAUCAUGAUACUAGGUUCCUAACAUCGGGGUUGAACCAUAACCCCAUUAAUAUUUCAUAGAAACCCAACAACAUUCCAGUUAGAGUGGAAAGUCCAGUUGGUACAAGCUUACAAUCAAUCAAACCAACCGCAGAGCUCUAAUAGUUUAUUUUGCAGUUAAAACCCACAACCUGUAAGCCUUGCAGCACUGUAUAUGAUUUGGGUUUAGCCUUCAUGUAUCUAAAUUUCUCUGGAAAAUAAUUAGCUCGACACUUCCUACAAAUUAUGCCAUUGCAGCAUAUUUCCAAAACGAAAAAAAAUGGCAUAAGAUUUUACUAUUUUGUUGAAAAUAAGAGACAAACUACAGAACAAACAGGCAUUACAAUCAGUGGCAAUCGAAAGUAACCCAAUGAAAGUAAUGAAAAGUUGAAAACCAAAGUAAACCCAGAUAAAAGAAAGAGAGGAUGAAGAGAAUAUAUGUACCCAAAUCGGACUCGAGCGGUUGACGGUGGCUGCGGCUGGAAGUGGAGAUCGGGCAGCCACACAAGAGAAGAAGGUGGCAUUUGUAUUACGAGUGUUACAAAGGUUUGGAGGGGGUGGGUUUGAGAGACACAGUCCUUCACUUUGGGCUUAAGGACGAGCCCAAUUCAAAUCAGCCAUCGACACUACCAACCUCUUUCGUAGUUGAGUGAAAUUUACACUCCCCAAAUUACAAACCACACUAUUUUCAUUGAGGUUGUGGUUAGACCAAUGGGCUAUUUGAUUCGGAAUCAGUGUGAACCCAUCCCUGUCGUGGAACGAGCGUUUAGAAGUUGAGACGUGCUUCCAUUGUGAGGAGAUUAUGAGUUGUCAUGAUGACAAUUAGUUUCCUUAACUACUACGAGGGAGGAGGGGUCGUUCGGUGAAACAUGGCUUACGUGUGGGGAUUACUUAUCCAAAUGUGGUUUUAGGCCGUUUACUCGCGCAGAUGUCCCUAAAUGUUGAUACAAGAAUUUACCUUAGAUUUCUGCUAAGCAAUAGGAUGCUUAUGCUGUGAUUCCCUACAAGACGAUGACUAGCGAUCAGAAGGGCUCCCGGACAGAUUCAGGUGUUGCCUCUUCGACGCUCAAAUCAUGAUCCAUAGCGAAAGCAAUUGGAUUUCUUGUAGAGACUAGAGGUAAGCAUAUACCUGAGCGUAAGAGCUUAGAAUCCCUUUUAUAGGUGGAGAGACGUGCUAUCAGCUGGAGCAUGCUCGUUUCUAGAAGAUUUCCACACGUGCGUCCAAAAGUGAGACCCAUGAGCGCGCAUGAAUGGUCAUAGCUCGUUGGUGAGAUACAUAUGCUUAGUCAUGCAUAACAUAGUUGACGGUGGUCCCACUAACAAAAACGAAAAGGAAACAAAAGGUAAAGGUGCGGUGCGGUUGGAAAUGAAAGGAAAAGUAAAUGGUGCCGAGGCUAUGGUAAAGGUUGCAAAAGCUGCAGUUUGUUUGUUUGUUGAGAGAGUUGUUUUUCUUUUACCCUAAAGCUGCACAAUACAUACUACCAAAUUUUUGUUGUUCAUUGUUGUAGGAGGAUUAAAGUAUUUAUUUUAUAACUGAAUUAAGUUAUCUUAAUUGUUUAAAGUUGCAUCUCCUUGUAAAACAUGGCUAGAACGAAGUAGUGACAUAAACCAUGAGAUAAACAUAAUUUGGGCCGCAUGUGUCAAACUAUCAGCUUAUGGAUAAACAUUAGAAUAAUAUUCAAAUUUAUAUUUGGGCUCAAAUAUUGGUGUCGCAAAAAAAAAGGUCAUAUUAUUGUUUUUCUUUUAUUAUUAAGUAGUAUGAGCCAUUACUUACCAAGGUAGCUGAAAUUUUAAAAAGGUAAAUUUUUCUAUGGUAUUUGAUCUAUGACAAAUUGGAUAGUUGGUACCUAGUGUUUAGAAGACGACACUUUUGAUACAUCAAGUGUUUAUUUUGACAGUUUGGUACUCCCGUUAACUUUUCACUUCAAUAUGAGAGUAAUUUUUUUUAUCAUAAUGUGAGGGUAAAAUUGUCAUUUGGGUAUUAUUAAAAAAUAUAAACAUAAAAAAAACAUGUCUUUUGUGGAUUCAUUAUACAAUAUCGAGAUGAAUUUAUGUUUUGUUCAAAACAUACUUGAAUUUUGUAUUUAAGAAAUUUAACCGUUGUGAUCUAAAUAGUGACGAGACUACUCCAUCAAGAUAUAUGUAAUUGAUACACUGAAAGUCGUAUCAUGGGUGUUUAGAUCACAAAUAAAUAUUUAAGUAAUUUUAAAUACACACAUUUAAUCUCUCAUUGCACACCCUUUAUUUAAUACAUUACCCAUUUAGUUUCUUAUUUCAAUAUUAUAGUAAAUACACAUCCCAAACUGUCUAAAUACCCUCAAUAUCUAAAACUAAUAAUAAUCUGUUAUUUAAUAUAGUUAUUAUAUAUUUAUUAUUUCACAACUCUCUUUACGUAUUCUCUUUUAUUUUUUGUUAGAUAUAUUUGAUCGGGUAAGAAAUUUUUUCUUGAUAUUUUUCAAUUUAUAAUCAAAAGAGUAAUAUUAUAUUUAAACUCCAAAUCUCCAAUAUGAUCUCAAUCAGCUAGAAUUUGAAGAAAAAAAAAAUUUUGACAUACAUAAUUUUUUCAAAGUUAAGAAACUAGUAUUAUAUUUAAACACCAAAUCUCCAAUAUGAUCUCAAUCGGCUAGAAUUUAAAAAAAAAUAUAUAUUGACAUACAUAAUUUUUUUCAAAGUUAAGAAACUAGUAAAAGUACAAUAGCAUAAAAACUAGUUUUUAGUCUGUAAGAUAAAAACGAGUUUUUAGUCUGCAAGAUAAAAACUAAAGUUGAUAAAAAAAAAAACCAAAUGAAUCGGUAAAUAGUACAUGUGAUUAUGACAGUAGUCGAAAUUCAGGUGAUGAAUUUUGGAGAAGAAAUUUUUAUUUCUUUUCUUUUUAUGCGUAGUAAUAAUGGAGAAGAGUUAGGUUUUAGGGAAGAUGAAGUUUCUUUUUUCUUUUCUUUUUCUUUUCCUAAUAAUUGAUGGAUGUUUUUGUAAUCAAAACAUACCUAUAAAAUCUGAUGUGAAAUAUAAAAUAAUAAUGGUGUGUAUUAAGAGAUUAAAAAUGUGUAUUUAAAAUUUCUCUAAAUAUUUCUUAAACAUAAAAUUAAAUCAUGUCAAAUUCGAUCAACAUAACCCAGACUCUAUUUUUUUUUUUACAUUUUAUAUUUAUAAAUAGUACUUAUUUUUACCCUCAUAUUUAACAGAAAUCUCAAAAUGUCAAACUGAGCAUAAGUUAAGAUACUAAGGUGUCAUUUUUUUUGGUAACAUAAGAACCAUGUACAUUGUACAUGUACAACUGUAAGCACAUGCAGUAAAUCCAUAGUUUCGAUAAAACUAACCGACCAACCUCGAAAGUCCAACGAAACAUGGUAGCGCAAGUGAAUGGGACUUUCCUUCCGUUUUGACUUGCCUAGUCCCUAGAUAUUGGAUAGGGGAAUCCAACUGUAACAAGAAGAAGAAUGGCGGUCUCGGCUUUCAGAUCCUCCAGCAGAAGAAGCGAUCCCACCGGUGCCUCAACUUCAUCAUCAGCUAAACGGAGCACCGACAUAGACUCUAAGCCAAACCCUAAACCAAUCAGAAGAUCUAGAAGCGUGAGCACUUUCUCGAGGACUGCCACUUUUAACUCUCACAACAUUGACAAGAGAGACAACCCUCUCUUUUGGUCCUCCUCAGAUUCACCAACAUCACUUCACCCCAAAACCCUACACAUGUUCUCUAUAAGAUUCAUGAGUUCUUGUCUUCAUGAGCUUGCAAUUGAUGAAAUCCAUAAACAAAAAUAAAGACACCUGAGUUUUUAUUUUUUCAUUUCGUAUGUUGCUUGUGAUAACAUCAGAAACAUUCAAUAGUAAAUCUGUUGUGCAAACUCACUUAAUAAAAUAUUCAAACAUCUUUCUCUUCUGCUCUAGUCUAGAAAAGCAAUAUCAUUUUUUCAAUUCUAUUCGAUCUGGCUCUUUUUGUGAAGGCCGUGAAGCUCCUAAUUUCCUAAAGAUAGAGGAAAGAAGAAGAUAACAAUUUUCCCUCUACAAAAAAAAAGAUGACAAUUUUUUUAUUAUUAUAGAGAUGAAAUACAUAUCUAGAGAAAAAAUAAUGAAUUGAAAUAUGAAGAGAUAAAAAAUACCUAUGAAAAAUGACCAAUUGACGUUUACCAUAUUGGAGGUACCGUUUUGAUGUUUUCAAAAUUUGAAACUUAAAGUACCAAAGUUUAUAAGCAAGAAAAGAUGAGGUACCGUUACGACAAAUUUCUCUUUUUAUUAUAUAAAAUGAAUAAUAAUAAAAAACUCAAGGGUAAAUUGGUCAUUUUAUGAAUAUAAAACGGAGCUAACGGUUUUAGAUACCAAACUUCAGUCGAGGUAAGAACGUGAGAUACUAUUUUGAAGUUUUCUAAAGGUGAGAUACCAAAACUUUGCUUUGUUAAAAGGUGAGACAUUGUUUAUACAAUUUUCCCAUUUAUUAAAGAUAUUUUAGACAAAACAUAAUUUGGUAAUUUUCUGAGAGGGCGGAUCCGUGGCACCCAGAAUUAUAAUCAAUAUUAUAACCCAAAUUUUAUCCAUUAGAUCUAAUCGUAAUUAACGGUUGAGAUAAGUCAUAAAAAAUUUAAUCAUUAUUCUAUAAUAAUAGAGAUAAGAUUUUGACAAAUGGGUUCGGUUCAAGGCCAUUUAUUUUUACAUAAUUUUUGACACUCUUUCAUGGCCAUCAGAUUUUAAAAUUUUCAACUGUCUAGAUCACUUGCCAAUACAUAAUUAAAAGAAAACCAAAUCCAAUUCUAACUUUUCAAAAAUCAAAAUCAGAUCAUACACAAUAAAUAAAUAAAAUAAGAAGAAGAGGAAGAACGUAGAAUAUAUGAGUUGUUUGACACCAUCAACUUCCAAAAACAUGCAUCACCUUCCCAUCGACAUAUCCAUCCGUAUGAAAAAAAUACACAGUUUACAAUUCUUUUUUUUUUUUUUUUAAAAAAACUACCACAGUUUACAAUUGAAAUUUUCCAAGGAUUUGGAAUACUAGACAAAUAUUAACAUUCUAGAGCAAGCAGACAACAUUGAUAUUAACAUUCCAGAGCAACCAGGCAACAUUGAUAGGCACAUUCACCGACUAGGUGCAUAUUUCCAGCAGCCCCUUAGGGCGGGCGGCAAGUUCCGGAAGACACCCUUUCGGAGAACCACCCAUACGACGCCGUACGAUCGGCCAACGUCCACCACUGCCAACGGCGGCUGGAUCUCCAAGCUCGUCGAUCCCGCUCAGAAGCUUCUCACCUACAGCGCCCACCGCCUCUUCUCCACCGUCUUCCACAAACGCCUCCCUCCGCCUUCCUCAGGUUCGUCUCUCUCUCUCUCUCUCUCUCUCUCUCUCUCGUCGUCGUCNNNNNNNNNNNNNNNNNNNNCAAAUGUUUGAGAUUUCAGACUGUAUCAUCUCAUAAUGGCUUCUUUGUAACUUUUCUGUAAAGGAUCCUCCUGGAGUGCAAAAUGGUGCCAUUGAGCAAAGUACUGGUCCCAGAGCUACUUCUGCUGGAGACGGGGGGUUUACCUUACUUGAGCAAAUUUUGGAGCAGAAAACCUUUACCAGGCAAGUCGUAUAUAUUAAUCACAAUGUUUUUUCUUCUCUUCUGGGACUUUGAAAUUGCUUAGAUAUUAUAAUUGCAGCCUUCCAUGACAACAUUGUGUUUCUUAUGCUAUCCUCUCUGUGCUUAUUAAGCUGUACGUGUUUUUUCAUUGAAAACAACAAGAGGAUUACUAGAUUGCUUGAUGGUCUCUGACCAUUUUUAGGUGAAAAAGUAAGGACCUCCUUGAUGAAUACCAGUGGAAGACCACUAUGGUUUGUCCAAGGCUGAGUGAAGCUAGUAGGUUUUAUUGCUUUAAUAGCUUGAUUCUUUUUCAUAAAUCCUUGAUAUUUUAUAUAUUUUAAAUGACAUAAAUGGAAUGCGUUGAAACCCUUGGGGAAAUCUUAUUGUGCAGGUUUAGCCCUAUCUGUCACACAUCAUUCCUUGUUUAUUUGUAGUUUGUGGAAGCAUAGUGAUGUCUUUGCUUGUUGUUUUACUUUCGAUAUGACUGUUUCCUCCAAAUAUAUUUUCAUUCCCUGCAAUGCUUUAAUUACACGCAUAGAUUGGAAUUUGAACUUCUUGGGAUUGGUUAUUAUUAGAGCUUAACCUGCUUGAGGUAUCCAAUAAAAGGAACAAAUAGAAUAUUCUGCUGUAAUCGCAUCUGUGCCACUUCUGCUUUUCAUAACUUGCCUUAUUUAUUGUACAUGUUUGUCAUGGUGUUGAGUUUCAUGUAUGUUAAUUCCCUGCAGACCUGAAAUUGAUCGAUUGAAAGAGCUCUUGCAUUCAAGGACUGAUGAUAUACCUACUGAGANNNNNNNNNNNNNNNNNNNNNNNNNNNNNNNNNNNNNNNNNNNNNNNNNNNNNNNNNNNNNNNNNNNNNNNNNNNNNNNNNNNNNNNNNNNNNNNNNNNNNNNNNNNNNNNNNNNNNNNNNNNNNNNNNNNNNNNNNNNNNNNNNNNNNNNNNNNNNNNNNNNNNNNNNNNNNNNNNNNNNNNNNNNNNNNNNNNNNNNNNNNNNNNNNNNNNNNNNNNNNNNNNNNNNNNNNNNNNNNNNNNNNNNNNNNNNNNNNNNNNNNNNNNNNNNNNNNNNNNNNNNNNNNNNNNNNNNNNNNNNNNNNNNNNNNNNNNNNNNNNNNNNNNNNNNNNNNNNNNNNNNNNNNNNNNNNNNNNNNNNNNNNNNNNNNNNNNNNNNNNNNNNNNNNNNNNNNNNNNNNNNNNNNNNNNNNNNNNNNNNNNNNNNNNNNNNNNNNNNNNNNNNNNNNNNNNNNNNNNNNNNNNNNNNNNNNNNNNNNNNNNNNNNNNNNNNNNNNNNNNNNNNNNNNNNNNNNNNNNNNNNNNNNNNNNNNNNNNNNNNNNNNNNNNNNNNNNNNNNNNNNNNNNNNNNNNNNNNNNNNNNNNNNNNNNNNNNNNNNNNNNNNNNNNNNNNNNNNNNNNNNNNNNNNNNNNNNNNNNNNNNNNNNNNNNNNNNNNNNNNNNNNNNNNNNNNNNNNNNNNNNNNNNNNNNNAGAGGCUUAAGCUCACCAAUGAGUACGGAGGCUUUUCAAAACCCAUCAUCUUCCACAAAGAGGCCACUUCUGUUGGGUGAACCCAAGCAUACUCUAGCAAAAUCAUCAUCAGAAAAUGGAGACAAUGCAGUUCCUAGAACAUGUUUUUCAACUGUUCCGUCGCAAUCCAGCAAAGCGGCUUCCAAAAUCUUUGAGCAUCUCGAUAAGAUCAACUCUCCAAAGGAGAAAUCAUCUGAGCCCAAGUUACUUCCUAUGAGCGAUAGAUCACCAACUAAGUUGUCGCCCUCCAUGCUACGUGGUCAGGCUCUGAAAAGCCUGGAGGAUGUGGAUUCGUCGAAAUUCCUGGAAAAUCCCUGUUAUAAAAAUGGUAAUAACUUGGAUGUUUCAUCUAAUCAACUCAUACUAGAUGCUUCUUCUCAAAAGCAUGACAAUGUUAAAGAAAAUUGUCCAUCAAGGGUUCUUGCCCCCUGUGACAAUUCAAGUACAGUAACCAAUGAAGUUGAAUCCACAACAGAAAGGAAAGAUGUAAUGGUAAAGGUUAAACCUGCAGUUUCUGCUGCAUCAAACACUGUUGUUCAUCCUCCUGAAAAGAAACGGCCGUUCGAGAUGAGUGCUCAUGAGGUAUGGUUGUGCUUUUUCAUCUUUUGUUGUUUAGUGAUAAUCUUUGGUGCAGUGUCUCAAAGUUUAAAUUUUUUCGCCGUAGUUUUACUAUGAAUUAAAACUUCAGUGAAUUUUUGGUAUUAGAAAAGCAAUUAUCUUUAAUAUUGUUUUUUAUAGGUAUCUUAUAACACUUAAUUAAAUGAGUUGAUUCGUUUGAAUAUGGUCUGUAGUAUCUGGAGCUGGAUGACGAUGAUUGUUCCAUUAAUGGCCACGUGCCUGGUUCAUUUGCUGAUGGGAGAGUACAGGUAGAUAAGAUUGCAGCUGCUAAUCUGGAGAAGCCUAUAGCUUCAACUGAAGUCAAACCUCCUUCAUCUUUUGCAUUAAAUGAGAAGUCUGAUAGCAGAACGUCUGAUGGGUACGUACUUUGUCAGCAAAUGAAAUGUGAAUUUGUACUUACACGCCUUGCAAAUUUCUAAUUGUACUUGUAUGUUCCUUUUAUCUGCAGUGUAUAUACAGUUGCGCCUGGUGCAACAGGUACCGUACCAAAACCAGUGCAUACAGAUAAAGCUGAUAAGAAUAAUUCAGAUGCUGAAGUCCCUUUUAGGGUACCAGAAAUUCUUGUGUCAUCAUCAGCAGCAGCAGCAGCACCUACUAGCAUAUUUUCCACCACUUCUCAAGUUUCCAACAAUUUAGCAAGUCAAAGUUCUGUCAGCAGCAUGGCCCCCACUGCCAACACUAACAGUGGUAACAACAUUGCUGCUACUAGUGCUGUUACCACCAGCAAUCUUUUUAGCUCAGUUUCAGCACCAUCCUUUUCAGCCGAACCCUGUUCUAAGUUUUCAGUCUCUAGUGCAACUACGGUGACACAGGUACCUGAAAAUUCUCCCUUGGAAUUGUUAGGAGACAAGAACAAGCAAGAUGGCGGUUUUGCUAAUCUAAGCCGCACAGUUUUGCCUGGCACAUCUACUACCAGUGCAGGCACAGAAAAUAGUUUUGUGGGUGUUUCUGCUGCUGCGUCCUUCCCUACUGCCACCAAUCAGUCGGGCCCUAGUUUCAGUUCUGGUAGUGGAUCCGGUCUUUGUGUCCAGGCAUCACCUAAAUUGUUGUUCAAAUGUGAACCCUCAACUGCCUCAACUGCGUUAACAUCUGGAAGUUCUUCCUUGGAAUUCUUAAAUGAUAGGAACAAGCAAGGUGGGUCCUUUGGUACUGUAAGCAGUUCCUUGUUUUCUGGCACAUUUGCAACAAGUGCAAGCGCAUCAAGUAACAGUUUUGGGUUUUCUGCUGCUGCUUCCAUGCCUACCGUUACCGAUCAGGCUCCUGGUUCUUCUCUGUUUAGUGGUGGCAGUGGAACUGGUUCUGGUACCCACCUGUCCCUGCUGGGACAGGAGUUGCGGCUUCCACACAGAGUGCACCUGUUCAACCUGGCUCAUCAUCUUCCAGUUUGGUGUUCAAUUUUGUAGGAAAUACAGCUUUCUCUUCUGGGAGCUCUGCACUCAGUUCUUCUACCCCCUCUUCUGGAGUGAACAGCAGCUCCAGUACUGCUCCAAGUACCACAUUUGGUAGCGGGUGGCUACCUGCUACAUCGUCUAAAUUUGCUUCCACAGUAGACUCUACAUCUUNNNNNNNNNNNNNNNNNNNNUUUCUGCUCCAACUACCAACAGCGCAUCGGGGUUUGCAAUAUCCAAUGGUGCAUCAUCAACUGGCGUGUUCCCCUUUACGUCAUUUGCAACUACUGCCGCAUCUCAACCUGCAUUUGGUAACUCCACUCCUAUGGGCUUUUCUACAGCUCCGUCUGGUAAUAAUGAUCAAAUGAGCAUGGAAGACAGCGUGGCUGAGGACACUGUUCAUGCAUUACUACCCACAGUUGCAGCCUUUGGUCAACAGCCUGUCUCAGCUCCUCAAUCUACACCCACGUUCCAGUUCACCCAGCAACCUGUGUCAACCCCUCAAACCCCCUUUGUAUUUGGAGGUUCCUCCAAUGGCUUCCCGUUUCAGAGCCAACAAAACCAAUCCAACACACAGAAUCCUUCGCCAUUUCAGCCUGUCAAUAGUUUGGCCAACGCGCAGAACCCUUCACCAUUUCAGGGUUCAAAUAGUCUAGGUUUGCCCACCAGUAGCUUCUCACUGGGCGCCCCUGACAAGUCUAAUAGAAGGAUUGUGAAGGUUAACCGUAGCAAGAACAGGAAGAAGUAGUUGGAUUGGUUUACGAAUGAGGGCAUAACUGCCCUUGUCAGCUUCCAAAUAUCAGAUACAUUUACUUUUCCUUUCCGUUAUUCUUAGGUGAAAAUUUUCGUGGUUGCCAUGAGAGGGGUAUCCACAUUUUAUACCGGUUUUGUAGUUUGAACACUUGACCCAUUAUUUGUAACAUUACAUGUAUGCCUAUUUUAUUAGUAUAUGAUGUAUGUCACAGCCUUGUUGUGCUGUUCUCCACUAUUUUCUGUAGCUAUUUGUAACAUAAAUGUAAUGGGUCGGAUUGUGUCCUCUACAGGCUGCUACUGCUUUUACGCCAGCAAUUCGUUUAUCAAGUAUUUUCAGUCUUUGUAGAUUUUGUAUUUCGGGUGUUUGCUUCUACAAAUUGAUUGUAGGCGUAACUAGCUAGCGUCAAAAAGGUGAACCCAUACGCCCUCUAUUUUCUGUUAGAGACAAUUAAGGAUUGGCUGAAAUCAAAGCUAUAACCUGGUUGCUGUAUUGCAUCAGUUUAGGAUCUGCCAUAUAUUUGUAAUGAACUUUAUUACGUGUGUAACAGUAGUGUAUCAGUAGCAUAUUUUGCUGCAAUAGAAGUCUUAUACUUAUAAACAAAGGUAAUGAGGUGUAGGUGUCUUACAGUCUUACUCGAUCGCUUCCCAAGUCCUAACUACCUCUGUACUUCUCAAAUCAACCUAUUCCCUCCCUCUCCUCUUAAUGGAAUAGAACUUGAAUAGGGCCUCGAAAAUUUAUUAAUUUUUCAGUAAUCUAUUCAUAGAAAAUUCCAUAAAAAUCAUUGUAUUUUGUUUUACGGCUAGCGCCGGCACUGUGUCCUAAUUGUCACUUCAAUCGUCAGUGGCAUUCUCUCAAUGUCCACACAAAUCUUCCGGCCUAACUACCGUAGCUCCCUUUGCUGGAGUUUAUUUUGUUGCUCAGACACAGGUGUCACAUCACAUGACAUCUAUGCCUUUCAAUAAUCCACAGACCUUAUGGUGGACCUCUCCAUGUCUAUAUAUAGGGACUGAAUGUAUGUUUCUCAUACCGGUAAACAGUCUCAUGUCAUUAGGUUCUUCCUCUUUCUCUUUGCAAAACGUCUUUUGUAUUUCAUCAAUUCGUAAAAAUCCUCUCUGUUACUCAUUUUACAAAAAAUAAUAUUGUCUUCUUCUUGUAUACUCCUGAUUACUAUAAAAUUUAUUACUUACAUAUUGGUCCUCUUUUGUUCCGAGGCUCAUGUAAAAUGGUCUCUACAGGCCUUCAUUUUCUUCCGAGUCCAUAGUCCCUUAUGCACUACUCUCAUCUGUUCACUCGUCUCUCUAGCACAAUCGCCUAGGACCCUCCUCCAUUUUGGAUAGUUUAGGAUCCACUCUUGGCACUCCUUCGAUUAGCUCAUGCAAAUAUUUAUAAAUAGAGAAUAUCAACCAUUCUCAGCUUCCAUGUCAUCCGUUUAGAGUAAUUGUUGAAUCAUAGUAUUUAUUGUACCUUUUAUUCUACGAACCAAGACCUCUAAUACUACGAUGAGAAAAGAAGUAGAAUGAAAGUAACAACUCAACAACAAAACCAUAAAUAAGCAAAGUAAAAUAGGUGAAGGAAAACAACAUUUCCACUGUAAAAUGAUAAAGUACACAACUUCAAAAUACCACCAUGAAACACACUUGUUUUGCUGCCAACUUGAGUGGACACUUCCUUCUUCACUGUCUACAUGGGUAUCAGAAAAAAAAAAUUAGAUUUGGGAGGAAAGUUUAGCUUACGACGAUUAAUAAAAGGUAAAAAGAGAAGGAAGAAGCGAAGCAGGUUCAAUAUCAAAUGUGGAGGAAAUUAUCAGUAGGGUUUGCACUACUGACGCAGCAGCAGCUAUGUCGGCGCCACUCCACGGCCACGGCCACGGCCACGGCCACUGCUGUGAACUCGAUGCUCCUCCGCUCCCUGAAAGAGCACUAUCUGGAAGUGUCCAUAAUGUCCCCUCCCCCUAAAGUGAACCCUCCCUCGCCUUUCACCGUCGUCAAGGGCGCCCUCGACGGCACCGGCCCCGUCCUCAGGCGCAGCUACGGCGACGAAGAAAUCAGCAUAGCCGUGAUGCGAUUGGCCAAUAUUAUUCCCGACGCCGACGACAUCAACCAGUUGUUCAUACACGUGGACGUUUCGAAGCCCAACGAGAAGGAGUCUCUGAUUUUCCUCUGCGCCCUGUAUCCGGACGCCUUAGGCAUUCACUCUGUCUCUAUGAGGCGCAUGGCUGAACCCUCUGCGCUUCGUUCCUCUGCUCUUCGUUAUAACGGCCCUCGUUUUGAGUAUGUUCCCUAAUUUCUUCCAGCUCAGCACACCUCGUUUGGUAUAUAUGAUGUAUGUCCAUGUGUUACAAUUACCACUCCCAUUCCCCGAAUUUGCACUAACUUAGAACUGAAUACUUCUUACACUGGAAGUACGAACUCUGUAAAUAUCUUCUCCAAUGUUUUGUCUAACUUUGAACCAGACUUUAUUGCUUCCGAGUAGUAUUCAUUUAUUAAAAAUGUUUCAAUUGAUUUGUAUGCUAAUUCCUAACAAAUUGUACUUAGUAUAGAAGAACCCCGAAAAAGAAAAAGACAAGGAAAAAAAAAGUUAUUCUCAACGUUCUGCCCAGACUUAAGUGGUUGAUUUUUCUUAUUUUAUUUAUUAAUACCAUGAUGUCUUCUCCAGCUCAACAAUGACAAUGUUCUGUUGAAUGGUUCCGUGAAGAGGUUAUAAUUCUCAGAAACAAUGACAAGCUAAAGUUUGGGGUUUUCUUCACCGUUAUGCGCUCCAACAGCUUCUUGAUAUUGAUUAUGUGUAUAUAACACGACUCUGUUAACCCUUUUUUCUUUUAAAUCUAGUUUUCUAAAAUUUAGUUUGAUUCUAUGUAUCAUGCAUAUGCUAUUGCUUGGAAUGGUUCAGCCACUAGUAAUAAUGUGGCUUGAGUUAUUUGACUGUUUUCAUUAUAACUUGAUUUUUUCCUUCCUGAAUUCUUUAUAUCUCUUAUUUAUUCUUUUAUCUUUCAAUUUUAGUCUUUAUGUUUCUUCAGAAUAAAUCAGAUAUGUAGAAUGAGGUAUUCCUGAUAAACUGAGACAAUGUUUGGGUUGACUUGUUUGCCAAUUGACAGAGAUCUUGAUGAAGGGAUGAGGGAUGCAUUCCACAGCUACAUAGAAGAGCGGGGUGUGGGUGAUAGUCUUUUUCCAUUUCUUCAAGCUUGGCUUUAUGUAAAAGACCAUCGUAAUCUCAUGCGCUGGUUUAAAUCAGUAGGAUCAUUCGUUAAGGAAACCAAGUCAGUUUAAGAUUCUUAGCUUCAGGUCAUCUAGAAAAGGGAAAAGAAAAAAAAAAACAUGUAUUUAGCAGUUCCAAUGCUAAGUUUUUUCCCUCAACACUAAUUUGUCCUAGUGAGAUUUGUUUAGAAGUUCUGUGGUGUUUGGCUCUUUUCGAGUUAUUUGUGUUACAUUUGAUAUGGUAGUGCAGAGUCCUAUCCAAUAUACCCCUCAUUGAAAAAUAUUAUCCGCUGGUUUUUCUCAUAUGUAUUCCAUGCCAUCAUAAAACAAGGAAAAAACAGUUUCCCUCAAAACAAGGGGCAUAUAGCUAGUAAUUAACUAUAUGGUUUCGUUGGUUAAGGUGUUUAACUGACAACUUUGAGGUUUGAAACAUCACGACAUAUAUAGGGUGUGUGAGUUAUUAAUAACAGUUUUUAAAAUAUUAAAAAAAACCAUAUGUAAAUAGUAAUAUAUAUAUUUUUUUUAUAUAAAAAACUAUCGCCUCUACAUGUCCUCUAACUUAGCCAUGGAGUUUUUUUUUUUUUGAAGAAAAAGAAAAUUAUAACGAGACGCCUUUAGAGCAGUCAAUACUAACAGUUUCUAAAUGUAACGUUUGUGCAGCCUGAAGAGGAAGCACAUCAUGGAGUUAUGAUCACCUCUCUUUUAUCAUUUUAAAACACUUUUAUUAAAAUCCCUUAAGUCACCAGGGCACCACAAAUCCUUACAUAUAUACCUUUAUAACGUUAGUUAGGCUAGUUAACCAACAAGUCAUAGCUCACCAACUAGAACUUAUAAAUCGAGUAUUGUAUUCAAUUCUACUCUACCAAACGAGGCCAUAAGAACUCGAAUCCUCUCCUCAUAUUGCCUCAAACACAAUCUUGACCAUUAAAUCUUACUCAAUGGUCAAGAUGUCUCUUAUUUUUGUUUUUGAGAUAUUUUUCGUACGUGUCGUCUUAUUGUAAAAUCUCUCUCUCUCUCGUCCCAACUGAUAUCUCAAGUUCUUUAUCAAAAAAAUUAUCAAGGUCCUCUUCUCCCAGUCUCCCACAUACCCAUAAUAAGUGAUGAAGCUGCAAUUUCAAAUUUUCAGUUCCAAUCGCCCUCACCCAACCCUCUCCUUCUCCAAAUCCCUAACCUCCACUCUCUUCCUCCUCCCUCAAACCCUCCCUUGAACCUUCCCCGCCGUCGAUGUUGAUAGAAACAGAGAGGACAUGGUAAUGUGGUGCGCGGUGGCGAAAAAGAAGAAAUGGUGGUUCGGAGUCUGAAGGGAGUGAUAGGAGGUAUAAUUCGAGAGAAGGUAGAUAGGGAUUAGGGCAGAAUUUCGCUUCACCCCGCCGUCAAAAAACGGUACGACGAGCAGAGAUCGUUAGAAGCAAAAUGAGAAUAGCUGCGAAUAGAUUAUAAUAAUUUCGAUAACCUGGCCUGGGUGUAUAGAUGAGAAUAUCGACGACAUUUUGGGACGAGAGAGAUGUAAAAAUGUCAAAACAAAAGUAAGAGACAUCUUGAACGGUCAAGAUUGUGUUAUGAGGCAAUAUGCCAAGCAAAGUUGGUCUGAGGUUGAGGAAAUAAGAAUAAACUCCCAGUACAUGUAAUCUACGAAUUUCGAUUGUACAUAUUUUAUGUUUACAACUGGAUGAACUCAUUGUGGAAUCACCAAUCUGGGAAUCUUCAGCUGACUUGUCUCAUUGAUUACCGAUAGCUUUCUA